rnacentral:tRNA from 1 species
UUCAAGCAUACUUUAGUUUGGAGAAUACUUGUUUUGGGUAUAAGAGGGUUUGUGU